CCGCAGAUGGAGCAAUAGCUGAAGGUCCCCUUAUAAAGGAAAGACAUAAUGUUUAUGAAGAGACCGAGGCCGAGCCACAACCAAAAAGGAUACACAAGUUUUUCAAUUUAUGAUGGGCCGACCGGGGAAGAAGGAUUAGUUACUAUUUGAUUUUAUUAAAGACUCACCGACUGAAGAUGAGGACAAAGCAUUAAAGACUCCCUUUAAAAAAAAUAAAAAUGGAGAAGCUGAGGAAGACUGAACGAGCUAAGAAAGUGGCAGAGGUUGAAAAUGCGGAUCUUCGAAAGGCACUACUCAGAGCCCUGGAAGAGCUAUUUGAUCUGCCUUCACAAACAAAAGAGCUCUAUGUUUCUAACAAGCCUUUCGUGGCUAUUCGGGGGUUGCAAUUGGAUUAUUACAUGUAUGGUUAAAUGGUCGAUUGUGUGUCUUAUCACUGAAUCGUGAUGAAGGGAAACAAGGUACGAUACAUUUGCAAGGUUCCAGAAAAGCUUGUAGAUGACCAAAAUGGCUUGUUCAGGAUAAUUCAUUUAUUGCAAGGCUUCAUCAAAUACAAGUAUUCUUGAUUCCGACUCCAUUCGCCCUAGUCCUUGUGGCAGCAGGUGCAACUGAAGUCAUGGCUACAACCGGAAUCAAGGACUUCAUUACACUGGCAAGUUUCCACGACCGCCGUUGUUGCUAUUUUCUUGUAAUUUACUUUGCUCAAAUCUCAUUUGCAUCCUCACCCCCGACGUCCAAUUAUUAUUAUAAUCUACAAUUAACCUUCAAACUCUAUAAUUGUAAGUGCACCAGAGGAGGACGAUGCGAGUCGUAAUUUACUUGAACAUGUAAUAGGUAGGAACCA